AGCGAACGCUGGCGGCAGGCUUAACACAUGCAAGUCGAGCGGCCGUAGCAAUACGGCAGCGGCAGACGGGAGAGUAACACGUGGGAACGUACCCUUCAGUUCGGAACAACCAAGGGAAACUUUGGCUAAUACCGAAUACGUCCGUAAGGAGAAAGAUUUAUCGCUGAAGGAUCGGCCCGCGUCUGAUUAGCUAGUUGGUGAGGUAACGGCUCACCAAGGCGACGAUCAGUAGCUGGUCUGAGAGGAUGAUCAGCCUCACUGGGACUGAGACACGGCCCAGACUCCUACGGGAGGCAGCAGUGGGGAAUAUUGGACAAUGGGCGCAAGCCUGAUCCAGCCAUGCCGCGUGGAUGAUGAAGGCCCUAGGGUUGUAAAGUCCUUUUAACGGGGAAGAUAAUGACGGUACCCGUAGAAUAAGCCCCGGCUAACUUCGUGCCAGCCGCCGCAGUAACAC
rnacentral:rRNA from 1 species